rnacentral:rRNA from 1 species
AGCGAACGCUGGCGGCAGGCCUAACACAUGCAAGUCGAACGAUCCUUCGGGAUAGUGGCGGACGGGUGAGUAACACGUGGGAACGUGCCCUUUGGUUCGGAAUAACUCAGGGAAACUUGAGCUAAUACCGGAUGAGCCCUUCGGGGGGAAAGAUUUAUCGCCAUUGGAGCGGCCCGCGUUGGAUUAGCUAGUUGGUGGGG